rnacentral:rRNA from 1 species
GACGAACGCUGGCGGCGUGCUUAACACAUGCAAGUCGAACGGAAAGGCCCUGCUUUUGUGGGGUGCUCGAGUGGCGAACGGGUGAGUAACACGUGAGUAACCUGCCCUUGACUUUGGGAUAACUUCAGGAAACUGGGGCUAAUACCGGAUAGGAGCUCCUGCUGCAUGGUGGUGGUUGGAAAGUUUCGGCGGUUGGGGAUGGACUCGCGGCUUAUCAGCUUGUUGGUGGGGUAGUGGCUUACCAAGGCUUUGACGGGUAGCCGGCCUGAGAGGGUGACCGGCCACAUUGGGACUGAGAUACGGCCCAGACUCCUACGGGAGGCAGCAGUGGGGAAUAUUGCACAAUGGGCGGAAGCCUGAUGCAGCAACGCCGCGUGCGGGAUGACGGCCUUCGGGUUGUAAACCGCUUUCGCCUGUGACGAAGCGUGAGUGACGGUAAUGGGUAGAGAAGCACCGGCUAACUACGUG